rnacentral:lncRNA from 1 species
AUAUUUGUGAAUGUCCAGUGUUAUUGUUAUUACGAAUCACGUGGUCAGUUGACGGAUGUUACGGUAAGUAAAUAGGUAGGGAGCGGAAGUGCACGAGCUCAGGACACAGGUAAACAUGUGUGGACGCGCCAUAGCCACCUGUCGUGGGUUUUAGUACUCACAGCGGCCUACCUCAGUAGUUACAGGCACAGGUUACAGACUGUGCUUUCCUGAGGAGGAUUACGACCACAUCUGGACAUUGCAGUGGAUACAUGCGAACGGGGCAUCAGGACCGUCCCAUGCAAAGGGUCAAGGUCAGCCACAGGUCAUCCACAGCGGACAAGUCAUGGUCACUGAAUGGGUCAGCCAGAGCUGUACAGAUAGGGAACUCUUAGUGGACACUAGGGUUCGAGAGAAGCGCAUAGCGCGCAUCCUAUAUUUCAACCGUCAGUAAAGGCUACAUUUGGUCAGCGGUGUCAAACAUACGGAGACUGUUGUCACCCAGGAUAGGACUAUUGGUCCAUUGUGUCAUACAGUAGACAGGAGCAGACAGCACAGGAACUGUCAUAUUAUUGAAACAAGGAACAUUGACUGGUACCAUGCAAUUAGCCGGCUUAUUUGGAACUGUGAACUUUUGUAUGGAAAUCAAUGUGUGAAAAUAUGUAAAUGUAGGUAUGUGAAUGAGUGGAUGCUGGAGAGAUGAUUGAAAUGUUUAGUGAAAUGUGCUUGUGUUAAUUGUAAAUAAAUUGUUUGUAUUUGUGUAA